GCCGCGGUAGCCUAGUGGUCAUGGCCGUGAACUCGAUGCUGUCGUCGUCGAGUCGUGGGUUCGAGCUUGUGAUGUUACUAAAAACCCGCUGUGUAGCU